CAUCUCUAAUACUUGACAAUUCACGGAACACAGUUGUGGGUUGAAGGAAGGUUGUAAUUUGUAGGUAUGGACUUUAACUUGAAAUCGUAUGUAAUUAACAUUGUUUUGUAAUAUUUUAUUGAACCUCGGACGUAUGUGUUGUUGAACCGUGAUAAUAAAUUUAAUUCUAUUAACAUACUAAGAGUUACUAAGUCUGAAUGCUUACAAAUUAUUAAGGAAGCAACAUUUAUAUUUUACAUAACUUAGAAAGUUUCUUGAAUUGUUACAAUAUUUAAAAUGCCCGAAAAACAGUAAAAAGUAGGAAAUCCCGGACCUUCGGCUGUCGGAAAAUUAUAUCUUAUUGCCUACAACACAAUACAGACUUUUGGAUGGACUUAUAUGCUGAUACAGUCUGUUAUACACUUUUUGAAUCGUGGAACUUUGGAUAACUUUUGGCCAGAAAUAAAAUGGACUGUCAUUAUAUUUCAGAAUGCUGCAGUACUUGAG